rnacentral:rRNA from 1 species
UACAGAGGUGUCAAGCGUUGUUCGGAUUCACUGGGCGUAAAGGGUGUGUAGGUGGCGCCGUAAGUCGGGUGUGAAAUUUCGGAGCUUAACUGCGAAACUGCAUUCGAUACUGCGGUGCUUGAGGACUGGAGAGGAGACUGGAAUUCAUGGUGUAGCAGUGAAAUGCGUAGAGAUCAUGAGGAAGACCGGUGGCGAAGGCGGGUCUCUGGACAGUUCCUGACACUGAGACACGAAGGCCAGGGGAGCAAACGGG